CAGUCGCCGCGGGAAUACAGAGGGUGCAAGCGUUAAUCGGAAUUACUGGGCGUAAAGCGCGCGUAGGUGGUUUGUUAAGUUGGAUGUGAAAUCCCCGGGCUCAACCUGGGAACUGCAUCCAAAACUGGCAGGCUAGAGUAGGGCAGAGGGUGGUGGAAUUUCCUGUGUAGCGGUGAAAUGCGUAGAGAUCUGGAGGAAUACCGAUGGCGAAGGCAGCCAUCUGGCCUAAUACUGACGCUGAGGUACGAAAGCAUGGGGAGCAAACAGGAUUAGAUACCCGAGUAGUCCCUGUCUCUUAUAC
rnacentral:rRNA from 1 species